rnacentral:rRNA from 1 species
UACGUAGGGUGCAAGCGUUAAUCGGAAUUACUGGGCGUAAAGCGUGCGCAGGCGGUCUGUUAAGACCGAUGUGAAAUCCCCGGGCUUAACCUGGGAACUGCAUUGGUGACUGGCAGGCUUUGAGUGUGGCAGAGGGAGGUAGAAUUCCACGUGUAGCGGUGAAAUGCGUAGAUAUGUGGAGGAAUACCGAUGGCGAAGGCAGCCUCCUGGGCCAACACUGACGCUCAUGCACGAAAGCGUGGGGAGCAAACAGG